GACGAACGCUGGCGGCGUGCUUAACACAUGCAAGUCGAACGGUGACGAUCAAGCUUGCUUGGCCUGAUCAGUGGCGAACGGGUGAGUAACACGUGAGUAACCUGCCCCAGACUCUGGGAUAACCCCGGGAAACAGGAGCUAAUACCGGAUAUGACAUGCCCCUGCAUGGGGUGUGUGUGGAAUGUUUUUUCGGGCUGGGCUGGCCUCCAGGCCUAUCAGCUUGUUGGUGAGGUAAGGGCUCCCCAAGGCGACGAAGGGUAGCCGGCCUGAGAGGGCGACCGGCCACACUGGGACGGAGACACGGCCCAGACUCCUACGGGAGGCAGCAGUGGGGAAUAUUGCACAAUGGGCGAAAGCCUGAUGCAGCGACGCCGCGUGAGGGAUGACGGCCUUCGGGUUGUAAACCUCUUUCAGCAGGGAAGAAGCGCAAGUGACGGUACCUGCAGAAGAAGCACCGGCUAACUACGUGCCAGCAGCCGCCGUAACAC
rnacentral:rRNA from 1 species